UCCCUACCUCCUCCCCCGGCGCACCCACCAGGUUGACCCCGGGGGUCCCCGCGGGAAUAACACGGGCGGGUGGUGAGAAUAGCAUAUCAAUAAGCGGAGGAAAAGAAACCAACAGGGAUUGCCUUCAGUAACGGCGAGUGAAGCGGCAACAGCUCAAAUUUGAAAAUCUGGCUCCUUUCGGGGUCCGAGUUGUAAUUUGCAGAGGAUGCGUCGGGUACGGGUCCCUUACCGAGUUCCCUGGAACGGGACGCCAUAGAGGGUGAGAGCCCCGUCUGGUAGGAUACCCAGCCCAUGUGACGCUCCCCUCGACGAGUCGAGUAGUUUGGGAAUGCUGCUCUAACGGGAGGUAUACUCCUUCCCAAAGCUAAAUACCCGGCUGGAGACCGAUAGCGCACAAGUAGAGUGAUCGAAAGAUGAAAAGCACUUUGAAAAGAGAGUCAAACAGCACGUGAAAUUGUUAAAAGGGAAGCACUCGCUACCAGACUUGGGUUUGGCGGUUCAACCGGGGCCACGCCCCGGGGCAUUCCGCCAGCUCAGGCCAGCAUCAGCUUUCCGUCGGGGGCAAAGACGUCGGGAAUGUGGCUCCCCCUCGGGGGAGUGUUAUAGCCCGGCGUGUCAUACCCUUCGGGGGGCUGAGGUACGCGCUUCUGCAAGGAUGCUGGCGUAAUGGUAGCUAGUGACCCGUCUUGAAACACGGACCAAGGAGUCAACCUUAUGUGCGAGUGCCCGGGCGUAAAACCCCAGCGCGGAAUGAAAGUGAACGUAGGUGAGAGCUUCGGCGCAUCACCGACCGAUCCUGAUGUCCUCGGACGGAUUUGAGUGAGAGCAUAUAGGGUUGGACCCGAAAGAAGAUGAACUAUGCGUGUGUAGGGUGAAGCCAGAGGAAACUCUGGUGGAGGCUCGCAGCGGUUCUGACGUGCAAAUCGAUCGUCAAACAUGCGCAUGGGGGCGAAAGACUAAUCGUCUACUGGCUUCG
rnacentral:rRNA from 1 species